rnacentral:misc_RNA from 1 species
GUCACUACAAAUACAAUUACCACUCCCACCCAGUCAUGGUCACCCCCGCCUGACUCCAAACUUCCCGUUGACUUCAGCCCACCUUUGAUAGCCAUGGUAGUAGUGGUCGCCGCAGCUUUUUUGGUAAUCACGUACUCUCGCUUGAUUUCUCGUUACCUCAUCCGAGUGCUCCGCCGCUGGCGAAGGUGGCGUCGCCUCGCCUCCGUUACAUCCCUUCCUCCAGCGGCGACCUCGACUCCCCGCCGCCUCCCUUCGACUCACCUGACGGUUUUCAUGUGUAUUCGCCUUAUGGACUUGAUGAGUCCGUUAUAAAGACUUUGCCUCUCUUCGUCUACACCACCAAAAAUGGCUUUCACAAAGAGAGCAGUAACAGUAAAGACUGUGCUGUCUGCUUACUGCAGUUCGAAGAUAACGAUUACGUCCGUACACUUCCUGUUUGCUCUCACGCCUUUCACGUCGAUUGUAUCGAUAUCUGGCUAAGGUCUCACGCUAACUGCCCUCUGUGCCGUGCCAGAAUAUUCCGGUCGGAUUCCCCUUUUAUACCGGUGAUGGCCUCUAGAAUCAGACCUAGCCUUGACGACACAAUUCUGCAUAGUAUUGGGCCCGAAUCCAUAAUUCACACUCCUCCUCCUUCUCAUACUGGCAACACAGCAACAACCACCAUAACGACGGUGACGGAGAUCACUCCGUGUAUUGAAGAAUCGUCGUCGAGAAGAAACAGUAAUAAUUUCAACAAUUACAGUCAAUCUGAAGAUCGAUUCACUGGCCGUGAUUUCUUGUUGAAACGGUCCUAUUCCUUCGGGUUUGAGCGCAGCUUAGCAUCGGAGAGGAUGUUGGUGAUGGAACCAACGACAACGUCACCUUGGCGUUACCGGAGGGGAAGCUUCUGGAGUAAACGUUCAUCGCCGUUUGGAUCGUUAUCAAAGCAUAGAGUUUUCUCAUUUAGACAUUACAAAGGCAUGAAAUCACCAUUUUUCAGAAGGAGAGGAGGAUUCUUCCCAUUAUCGGAGCGAUACCCAACAGGCAGCGGAGGAGGAGGAUCAUCAAGGCGGAGCAAGUCGAUGGCGAGUCCAAUGUUCCAAAGAUCAUCGGUGGCAGCAUUCUCGUCGAGCAGACUAAGGUGUGGGGAUCCCGAGGCGCUGUUGUCACCGGAGAGAUACAACAGGAGGUGAAGAAAAGACAAAGGAAAAGACACGUGGAGAGCAUGGAUUGGAUAGAAAAGGGAGGGGCGGAGAUGGGAAUUAAAUGGAAAGGAGAUCGGGAAGCGGAGGAGAGUUAAUGAGAAGAGACUAGUCUGGUAAAAUUGCGGAGUCAUUAAUGGAAAGUUGGGAGGAGCAUUUAAUGAAAACAUUGACGACAGAUAACAUAACAUUAUUUUUUCACACACGGCUCUUAUAAUAUUGAUCUUGGUUUGUCAUUUGAGUUCUCAUUUCUCUCCCUCAUUAAUGGCCUGGAGCCCUGGAGGUGGUGGAGGGGCUGUGAUUCUAUGUGGACAUUGAGUGGUCUUCUGGCUAUUGGCGAUGCUGAUUUCUUGUCGUUUGGUUUGGUUGUGUUUGAAUCUCAAGAGUGGAUUUUGUGUUUGGAAAUUGCAUUGUUAUUUUUCUCCUUUUGUUUCCCUUUAGGGAGAAUGGGACAUUACAAUUCAUAGAAA